AUUGAACGCUGGCGGCAUGCUUUACACAUGCAAGUCGAACGGCAGCACAGGGAGCUUGCUCCCGGGUGGCGAGUGGCGCACGGGUGAGUAAUACAUCGGAACGUGUCCUGUUGUGGGGGAUAACUGCUCGAAAGGGUGGCUAAUACCGCAUGAGACCUGAGGGUGAAAGCGGGGGAUCGCAAGACCUCGCGCAAUUGGAGCGGCCGAUGCCCGAUUAGCUAGUUGGUGGGGUAAAGGCUCACCAAGGCGACGAUCGGUAGCUGGUCUGAGAGGACGACCAGCCACACUGGGACUGAGACACGGCCCAGACUCCUACGGGAGGCAGCAGUGGGGAAUUUUGGACAAUGGGGGCAACCCUGAUCCAGCCAUGCCGCGUGCAGGAUGAAGGCCUUCGGGUUGUAACUGCUUUGUCAGGGACGAAAAGGACCGUGUUAAUACCAUGGUCUGCUGACGGUACCUGAAGAAUAAG
rnacentral:rRNA from 1 species